GACGUAGGGCGCGAGCGUUGUCCGGAUUUAUUGGGCGUAAAGAGCUCGUAGGCGGCUCGUUGCGUCGGCUGUGAAAACCCGCAGCUCAACUGUGGGCUUGCAGCUGAUACGGGCGGGCUGGGAUUCGGUAGGGGAGACUGGAAUUCCUGGUGUAGCGGUGAAAUGCGUAGAUAUCAAGUGGAGCACCAGUGGCGAAGGCGAGUCUCUGGACAUUUCCUGACGCUGAGGCACGAAAGCCAGGGGAGCAAACGGG
rnacentral:rRNA from 1 species